GGAGAGGUACUCAAGUGGUUGAAGAGUCCGGUCUUGAAAACCGGUAGGCUCGAAAGGGUGCGUGGGUUCGAAUCCCACCCUCUCCGCCA
rnacentral:tRNA from 1 species